rnacentral:misc_RNA from 1 species
UAUCUUGUACGAAUCCGUGAACCUACAAUUGAGAAAAGAACAAUAAGAGAAAUUAAUGAUGAGAGUGCUGCAAGGGAGAUAUCUAUUUUAUACAAGGGUAAACCUUACAUCAUAGCUCUUCAUAUAAUCCAAGAUUUCCAACUUCUAAUGGAUCAAGCAUUAAUACCCUAUUCAUGUAGAUAGCACAUGCUAAAUUUCAAAUUGAUUAGUUCUUUAUAAAUUUUUCAUAAACACAAUUCUUUGCAAUUGAAAUCUACAUAAUAUGCUUUGUAAAAUGUAGAAUAAUACAAGUAGAGCUAUUCAAUGGGAAUAAGAAAAACUCAUUCAUACUUGUCAAUCUGCUAUCGGCGAGAAAAUGAGUAUCUACACCAUCCACUAUUAAUUGAUGUUAGUUUUCCUCCCCCUUUGGGUACUGAUGGACAGGCCAAUUAUAAAUAUGGAACAUAUGAGCAACUUCUAAGUUGAAAAGAACAAAAUUUCCAAAGAGGAGGUUAUGAAAAACUGCAGCCUCUCAUUCAUGAUAAUAUUUUAUUUGAUUUGCAAAUUUGGAUUUUUCAUGGAUAUGGUAUAACAGAAAGGAAAGAACUACAAAUUAUGAGGUUGAUUCUUCUGGAAAUACCAAAUCGUACAUCAGUGAUCAAAUUCUAACCAAAAGACUGCUAGUGGUCAUCAACAAUCAAGGGUCUUGAAAAGCAAAUUUUUCAUUAUCAAAAUACAGCCGAGAAAAAUAAAAGCUACAAAUUCAUAACAGAAAAGUAAAGGACUCUUGCAUCAAUAAAUAGUGCAUUAGAGUGUCCAAGAAUAGCCCUUAUCAUUUAUUUGCAAGUAUAAAGUACCUGAUGAGGAUUUCGGUCUAUG